AUAUAUAUACACAUAUAUACGUAUAUAUGUGUGUAUAUAUAUACACAUAUAUACGUAUAUAUGUGUGUAUAUAUG
rnacentral:pre_miRNA from 13 species